AUUGAACGCUGGCGGCAGGCCUAACACAUGCAAGUCGAGCGAGCGGCGGACGGGUGAGUAAUGUAUGGGAAUCUGCCUGAUGGCGGGGGAUAACUACUGGAAACGGUAGUUAAUACCGCAUACCAUCAGAUGAACCCAUAUGGGAUUAGCUAGUGGGUGAGGUAACGGCUUACCUAGGCGACGAUCCCUAGCUGGUAUGAGCGGAGGAUCAGCCACACUGGGACUGAGACACGGCCCAGACUCCGACGGGAGGCAGCAGUGGGGAAUAUGGGACAAUGGGCGCAAGCCUGAGGCAGCCAUGCCGGGUGUUGGAAGAAGGCCUUCGGGUUGUAAAGUAUUUUCAGGCGGGAGGCGUUACCGAAAGAAGAAGCACCGGCUAACUCCGUGCCAGCAGCCGCGGUAAUUC
rnacentral:rRNA from 1 species